rnacentral:rRNA from 1 species
GAUGAACGCUGGCGGCGUGCCUAAUACAUGCAAGUCGAGCGAACGGACGAGAAGCUUGCUUCUCUGAUGUUAGCGGCGGACGGGUGAGUAACACGUGGAUAACCUACCUAUAAGACUGGGAUAACUUCGGGAAACCGGAGCUAAUACCGGAUAAUAUUUUGAACCGCAUGGUUCAAAAGUGAAAGACGGUCUUGCUGUCACUUAUAGAUGGAUCCGCGCUGCAUUAGCUAGUUGGUAAGGUAACGGCUUACCAAGGCAACGAUGCAUAGCCGACCUGAGAGGGUGAUCGGCCACACUGGAAUUGAGACACGGUCCAGACUCCUACGGGAGGCAGCAGUAGGGAAUCUUCCGCAAUGGGCGAAAGCCUGACGGAGCAACGCCGCGUGAGUGAUGAAGGUCUUCGGAUCGUAAAACUCUGUUAUUAGGGAAGAACGUAUGUGUAAGUAACUGUGCACAUCUUGACGGUACCUAAUCAGAAAGCCACGGCUAACUACGUG